rnacentral:lncRNA from 1 species
AUGAUUCCGCUUGAUUGCUCAUUAGUUUGGGGAUUUUUUUGUUUCGCGGUGGUGGUGGGUUUGGAUGGGUUGACUGUGGGUGGGAUUAGCCGAUUAGGGAGGUGGUGGGUGGAGGACGGAGGUGAUGUGGUGGUGAAAUAGCCGAAGGUCAAAGGAAGUUGGUAGAUCUUGCACUUGCAGGGACAAAUCCAGAAUCAGUCAACCCAUUGAUGACUCAAAUAAGCAAUGGACCAAUUGGCAGUUUCCAUGAGAAGGUCAGAUUAUGAUAUAGUUUUAUAUUGAUGUAUAUAUACACACACAUCAUAUUCUGGAUACAACGAAAGAGCUUUCUAGACUUGUAUACGAGCACAAAUACGAAGAAGCUUUUACUGCUGUCCUUCAAAGAAGCGAUGUCAGGAUCGUGUCUUGGUUAUGCUCUCAGGGGCUAUUAGCAAGAAAUCCUUUGCCUCUGAGUCAAGGAGAACUGUUAUUUCUGCUGCAACAGUUGGCUUGUGACAGUGGUUGUGCGGUGGUGGUGUCGGGGUGGGAGUGGGUGAUGGCAGAUGGUGGGGGAGGUGGAGGUGACUGGUGAGCGUGGGUGUUUUAGAGAGAGAGA